GAACGGGUNAGUNACGCGUAGGUAACCUNGCUUAUAGCGGGGGAUAACUNUUGGAAACGAUAGCUNAUACCGCAUNAAAGUGGUUNACCCAUGUUAACCAUUUAAAAGGAGCAACAGCUCCACUAUGAGAUGGACCUNCGUUGUAUUAGCUNGUUGGUAGGGUNAAGGCCUACCAAGGCGACNNNNNNNNNNNNNNNNGAGAGGGUGAUCGGCCACACUGGGACUNAGACACGGCCCNGACUCCUACGGGAGGCAGCAGUAGGGAAUCUUCGGCAAUGGGGGGAACCCUNACCGAGCAACGCCGCGUGAGUGAAGAAGGUUUUCGGAUCGUAAAGCUNUGUUGUUAGAGAAGAACAGUGAUGGGAGUGGAAAGUCCAUCAUGUGACGGUAACUAACCAGAAAGGGACGGCUNACUACGUGCCAGCAGCCGCGGUNAUACGUAGGUCCCNAGCGUNNUCCGGAUUUAUUGGGCGUNAAGCGAGCGCAGGCGGUUUGAUAAGUCUNAAGUUAAAGGCAGUGGCUCAACCAUUGUAUGCUUUGGAAACUGUUAAACUUGAGUGCAGAAGGGGAGAGUGGAAUUCCAUGUGUAGCGGUNAAAUGCGUAGAUAUAUGGAGGAACACCGGUGGCGAAAGCGGCUCUCUNGUCUGUAACUGACGCUGAGGCUNGAAAGCGUGGGGAGCAAACAGGAUUAGAGACCCUNGUAGUCCACGCCGUNAACGCUNAGUGCUAGGUGUUAGGCCCUUUCCGGGGNUUAGUGCCGGAGCUAACGCAUUAAGCNCUCCGCCUNGGGAGUACGACCGCAAGGUUNAAACUNAAAGGAAUUGACGGGGGCCGCACAAGCGGUNGAGCAUGUNGUUUAAUUCGAAGNAACGCGAAGAACCUUACCAGGUCUUGACAUCCCGAUGCUNUUCUUAGAGAUAAGAAGUUACUUCGGUACAUUGGAGACAGGUNGUGCAUNGUUGUCGUNAGCUCGUGUCGUGAGAUGUUGGGUUAAGUCCCGCAACGAGCGCAACCCUNAUUGUUAGUUGCCAUCAUUAAGUUGGGCACUCUAGCGAGACUGCCGGUAAUAAACCGGAGGAAGGUGGGGAUGACGUNAAAUCAUCAUGCCCCUUAUGACCUGGGCUACACACGUGCUACAAUGGUUGGUACAACGAGUCGCAAGCCGGUGACGGCAAGCUAAUCUCUGAAAGCCAAUCUCAGUUCGGAUUGUAGGCUGCAACUCGCCUNCAUGAAGUCGGAAUCGCUAGUAAUCGCGGAUCAGCACGCCGCGGUGAAUACGUUCCCGGGCCUUGUACACACCGCCCGUCACACCACGAGAGUUUGUAACACCCGA
rnacentral:rRNA from 1 species